rnacentral:tRNA from 1 species
AUAUAAAAAGCGAAAGAUUUUGCAUUUGGCUUCGGACCAAACUUUGAAGGUGUAAAUCCUUCUUUAUAUU